UAUCUAUUGUGAGCAGGCAAUGAUGGUAUUGUAUGUUUCUSUUUGACCAGGAACCAAUGACCAGAAAGGGAAGAUAAUGGGAAUAUUCCGAUCAAUUGGUGCCAUGGCGCGCGCUUUUGGUCCAUUUGUAUUUUGCUCAGCGUAUUGGCUUGUAGGAGCGUUUUGGUGCUACUUAACUGGAGCUCUUAUAUUUAUUGUUCCUCUYGUCAUUCUUAUGAAGAAUAUCCCCUCCAAAGAUGAUAUAAAGAGCAGCAAAGACUAGUUAGAUAUUAUUAUAAAACAUAAUGAUAAUGAUGAUUUCUUUGAUAUAUAAAAGCUGUUCUUAUUGUAGUCUCCAAUUAUUCAUUCAUAUUUUUCAUUCAAUUCAAACAAGUAUUUUCAUAUAGUUUUAGGAAUAAUAAGUAAUGCUGUGGAGACGGCACGAAAACUCACGGAACAAACGUAACAUCUAAUGGUCAAAGUUGUAAUAGAUGAAUGAAUAUAAUAAAAAGGUAGUGUUCUUUUUCUUUCUUUUC